CCUACGGGAGGCAGCAGUGAGGAAUAUUGGUCAAUGGACGAGAGUCUGAACCAGCCAAGUAGCGUGAAGGAUGACUGCCCUAUGGGUUGUAAACUUCUUUUAUAUGGGAAUAAAAUGUUCCACGUGUGGGAUUUUGUAUGUACCAUAUGAAUAAGGAUCGGCUAACUCCGUUCCAGCAGCCGCGGUAAUACGGAGGAUCCGAGCGUUAUCCGGAUUUAUUGGGUGUAAAGGGAGCGUAGGUGGAUUGUUAAGUCAGUUGUGAAAGUUUGCGGCUCAACCGUACAAUUGCAGUUGAAACUGGCCGUCUUGAGUACAGUAGAGGUGGGCGGAAUGCGUGGUGUAGCGGUGAAAUGCUUAGAUAUCACGAAGAACUCCGAUUGCGAAGGCAGUUCACUGGACUGCAACUGACGCUGAGGCUCGAAAGUGUGGGGAUCAAACAGGAUUAGAUACCCUUGUAGUC
rnacentral:rRNA from 1 species